rfam:Schistosoma rodhaini strain Burundi genome assembly, scaffold: SROB_scaffold0003766
AUCCAACUGAUAAGUCCCCUAUAGGACGAAACGCGCGUCCUGGAU